GCAUGACCACAUGCAUGACUUAGCUAGAUCAAUAUCUGGAGAAUUCGGUUUUAUAUUGGAGGAUAAAAAUUUAUUUGACAAGGUUCCCAUAAAGACUCGAUAUUUAUAUGUUAAAGGUUCUUCAUGUGGCUAUGGUAACUUUGUCAAUGAAGGCCAACUUUUACGCACCUUCUUUUCAGAUGAAUGCUUUAAUGGAAGUUGCGAGGUCAUGCAUUCUUUAUUGCCAAAACUCAAGCACAUAAGAGUGUUGUCGUUGUGUAAGUACUGGGAAACAAAGUUACCUAAUUCAAUUAGUAAUUUGAAGCAUUUACGAUACUUGAAUCUCCGCAGAGCAUGGAUCAGAAAGUUGCCCCAAUCUGUGAGUAGUUUGUAUAAUUUGCAAACUUUGAUUUUGCGUGAUUGCAAAUAUCUCAUUGAGCUACCUACCAACAUGGCAAAGUUAAUCAACUUGAAUUUUCUUGACAUAAGAGGAACAAAUUUGCAAGGAAUGCCACCGCAUAUGGGUAAUCUAAAGAAGCUACAAACGUUGACUAAUUUUGUUUUAAGAAAAUCGAUCAGAUCGGGUAUUGAAGAGUUAGGAAAGCUUCAACAUAUAAAGGGAGAGCUUAGCAUUGAGAAUCUACAAAAUGUUAGCCCUGAUGAUGAUUUGGAAUCCAUUCGGUGGGUUAAUAAGGAGAACCUUAAGAAAUUGGAGUUCAAAUGGAGUGGUGAAAGCAAGGAUUCAGAACACGCAAGAAUUGUACUAGACAAAUUGAGACCUCAUGAGAAGGUGGAAAAUCUUUGCAUGGUGGGUUAUGAGGGUACAAAAUUUCCAGAGUGGGUAGGUGUCCCUUCGUCAUCCUUAUCAAAUUUAGUAUGCCUGAAGCUCAGUGAAUGCUACAACUGCUCUUGUUUGCCUCCGCUUGGGCAGUUAGCAUCUCUAAAGGACCUCUCGAUCACAGGAUUUACAAAGCUUGUGUCAGCGGGGCUUGAGUUCUAUGGAAGUUUUCGAUCACAAAUGAAGCCAUUUAAAUCCCUCACAAUCCUGAGGUUUGGAAGGAUGGGACAGUGGGAGGAGUGGAAACAAGAAGAUGGAGCUUUCCCACUCCUCGAAGAGCUUUAUGUAGAAGAGUGCCCCAAACUAAUAAAAGCCCUGCCCACUCACUUACCUUGUUUAAAAAAGCUUGAAGUUAUGGGAUGUAAAAAGCUGCUUGUGCCUUUACUUCGAAUGCCUUCUACCAUUCUUGAUGUAAUGAUAACGAAUGGUUUUGAUGAUAAAGCGAUGUUAGAGAAAUUGCCCUCUGGAAUGCAUCGUUUAGAAAUUUCGGGGUCAGACUUGGUAAAUUCACUAUUUGAAGGAAUAGAGGAAGUGGAUAGUCUUAUCUCUGCUUUAGAAGAAAUCGAAUUGUCUCUAUGUGCAAUCAAGUGCUUUCCAUUGGAGUUUUUCCCCAUUCUAAAGAGACUUCACAUCAAUCAGUGUUCAUAUUUAAAAUCCCUCUCUGCAACUGAGGAAAUUCAAGGAGAAAGUAGUUCUUGUCAUAAUUUGACUGAGCUUUCUUUAUUCGAGUGCUCAAAUUUGAAGGCUUUGCCUGAAUGUAUAUGCUCUCAUCCUUCCCUUGUGAAAU
rnacentral:misc_RNA from 1 species